rnacentral:rRNA from 1 species
CAGUAGCCGCGGUAAUACGAACCGUGCGAACGUUAUUCGGAAUCACUGGGCUUAAAGCGCGUGUAGGCGGAUGGGAGCGUCGGCCUCUGAAAUCCCCCAGCUCAACCGGGGAAGUGGAGCCGAAACGACCCGUCUGGAGGGACGUAGGGGGACCUGGAACUUCCGGUGGAGCGGUGAAAUGCGUUGAGAUCGGAAGGAACGCCCGUGGCGAAAGCGAGGUCCUGGACGUCUGCUGACGCUGAGACGCGAAAGCCAGGGGAGCGAACGGGAUUAGAGACCCCCGUAGUCCCUGUCUCUUAUU